GGCUCGGUAGCAAAUAGUCUGCAUCUGCUUUCCAUUCUGAUUGUUGAAGGGAAUAAUGUAGACAAAGCCUGUUCGACUCAGGCCUGAGCCA